CUUUACACAUGCAAGUCGAACGGUAACAGGUUAAGCUGACGAGUGGCGAACGGGUGAGUAAUGCAUCGGAACGUGCCCGAUGGUGGGGGAUAACACUUCGAAAGAGGUGCUAAUACCGCAUACGAUCUGAGGAUGAAAGCGGGGGACCGUAAGGCCUCGCGCGAUCGGAGCGGCCGAUGUCAGAUUAGGUAGUUGGUGGGGUAAAGGCUCACCAAGCCGACGAUCUGUAGCUGGUCUGAGAGGACGACCAGCCACACUGGAAAUGAGACACGGCCCAGACUCCUACGGGAGGCAGCAGUGGGGAAUUUUGGACAAUGGGCGCAAGCCUGAUCCAGCCAUGCCGCGUGCAGGAAGAAGGCCUUCGGGUUGUAAACUGC
rnacentral:rRNA from 1 species